ensembl:lncRNA
UACACAUAAAAAUAUAUAGGCCUAUACCAAAUGUAAAAUAUUUCCAAAAAGUCAAAUGAAAAAAUAAAUAAUCUACAACACAUUUAUCAAAACAGGUUUAGCUAUACCCUACAACCUCUCCGACCAGAGUCCUAUACAGACCCUUCGAGACCAUAUCCAGCUUUAAAGUGUUGGUCAAUUCACGAGUACGAUAGCAGUCUUCCCCCACACCAAAGGAGAACCGCUGAACCACUAAUGACGGAACGUUGAUUUCCAGGUUGAAGUUUAUUUUUAUUAGAACAGGUGCUUAAAGAGUACGGCCUUAAAUACGUAUAAAAGCCAUGUGUGUAAAGAUUUUUUUUUAAUUAAUCGUACGGCUUAAUUACUGACUUAGUCUUAAGGGUUCAAGACCAUGGCUGCUGCAUGCAUUUGUUAUGAUAUACCCGUAAUCAUGUGCUGGGAAGAACGAGGCUUUAAAACGGCAGGAAUCAUUACUAUUAAGAAAAUUAAUCUAAGCUGCUUUGACAGUCUUACAAUGUGCGUCUUGGACAAAUUCUCGUCUAUCCAAAUACACAAAUAGGCUACUUGGUGACUAGCUCAAUUCUGGCUACAUUCGAGCUGCAGUCACGCAAGUCUUAACACGUAAGUGUUAAAGGUAGCUACAUUUUACGAAGCAGACAGCAGCAUGAACUUCAUCAGUAUUUAGCGCUAAUUUAAGAUAUGAAAUCUGAAAAAUCUGAAAGGGAUCAAAACCAGGCUUACUAUAUUACUUUACUUUAAUGACCGAUGCACUGGAGGGACACUGUACUAAUAUUAACAUUGUUAACGAUAAAAACAAUAUAUUAUAGAUUUCUUUAGGUCCAUGUCUUUGUUUAUGGCAUCGUCAGCUGUCAGUAUUAUUUUACAUGGGAAAUUGCUACAGUUUUCCCCCGUUUCCUAGGCAGAAAGUUCAUCUGGCAGAGGUGUGGGAAGGGCAACAGGAAGUACAAAAUAUUUUCAGUUAGUGUGUUUAAGUGUUUUUGUGUGAAGUUGACUAGCGAUUGUAAUUUCUGUUAAUUAUUUAUUUGCAUAUUGCUUCUGCAUACUUGUUCAUAGGACUAUUUAAUUUGGACUAAUUUAGGCGUAUUGUCUGGGAUUUUGUUAUUGUUUGACGACGUUGCUCUCAACUACAUUGCAAAAAACAUCCCAGUUUAUAGCCUACUCCUGUUAGAUCUUGGCAACUUGACAAUUUACGUUUGAUCUCUAUUAAAGACCUACUGAAAACGCCAAUAAAAGAGAUCCCAGAAGUAAAUGAUAAAUAACUUACAAAAGAUACAGGCUUUAAAUGGAUAAUUAUAUUUAAUCCUAAAUAAAUAGCUAUUAGCCGACUAUUCAACAUGGGUUGAGUUGUGAACAGAACAGAAGUCCUGCUUGGUCUUACCCCCAAAUGCUCUGUGUUGUGUUUAGGCUGUAUUAAAUAGUCCAAUCAUCCUUACGGUUCAAUAUGAUUACCUCUGUGGUUAAAAGGAAUAUAACUUAUAUUGGUCAAUUCUCAUUAAGUUCCAAUAAAGAAAUGGGACAAAUAGGUAUUGGGCUAGAAGGGUGACUGCACUAAGAGCGUGCCAGAACAACGCUGGGCUGAUGCUCUUCACCUCGACUUUAAUCAUCCAAGACUAAGCAAUAGUCUGUUGAGGUAUAAUAAGCAUUGUAUAAAAUGCAUGUAAUCCACCACAAACAUUUCUGAAAGAUGUGGUACAUUGACUGUAAAAAUACUAAAAAAUAAUUACACAUUUUCAAACAGAACCUUAUUUACCCCUUACGUGCAGGUAUAACAAUUUUGUAAAUAAAUAUCAGUGAGUAACUUAAUACAUUGGACGUAGUGAAGGGUGUUGUUAAAGCAUUUGGAUAAUCAUUUUCCUAACACUUUUGAAAACUAAGGCAGUCGUUUGUCAAAGUGUCAUAGUUUCACAUUUUGAAGGUGUUCAAAGUCUCAGAACAGGCAUUUUUCUCCAAACCACAGAGCUGUGGAGGGAUAUUUGUGACCUAUUACAUUCCAUCACUCCCAUCAGAUGUAGGACACUGAAUGAUUGUGAUUUCCUUUUUUAAAUCUCGAUAGAAUGGACUUUCCAUAUAAUUUAUCAAAAGUCAAGUCCAAAAGACAAAUUGGAAGUGAGAAAUGUAAAAUAAAUGCACAUUGGAUAUUUAAAAGGUUUAUCGUUGCAAAAAUACAUCAAACAUCUCUCAGUAAAAUUGCCAUAUUGAACUGGUUUAACAUAGCUUCAAUGGCAUACAACAGGCUUUUCUUGAUCUGCAACAAUUUCCCAACUCCAGUAACACCAAAUCUUCAACUGGAAAGAAAACUCUGCCCCAAAAACAAUCCCACCUUGACCAGUAGACUAUACCAAUACCUAAAACUAUAAGUAUCUUUGUAUUUGUUUGUAUUGCUCCCUCUCUUUCCAAAUCUGUGAUAUUUACUCUCUAGUAAACUGGCCCUCGCUGCACAUGCAAUGCGAGACUCACUGGUAACAGCUCAUCUACAAGUUCCUCUCAAGCUGAACAACAGAACACCGCUCUCUGGUAGAUACCUCACUCAGCUAUCACCUGGGUGGUGCAGUGGCAUGGAUCCUGUCCAAUAACAGUCAGCAGAGCCUGGCCCACCUGUUUAUGUGGGACACCCAAGGAUGUAGCUGUGUGGAACCUGGCUCUUGGGCUCCCCCUUGAUAUGACUCUAAAAGAGAGAGUCUGGCUUCAGCAGCACUUCACUCAGUCUUAUAACAAGGAACUAAAUUAUAGAAGCAAUGGCCCACCCACGUCACUACUAAAGCACAGGAAGCAUAUUCUGGCCCCUGUUGUGAACAGAGCUGCCGCUUUGGGCAACAAGGGGAGCGAGUCUUGCUGAGUUGAACCUUCCAUUGAUCAUCAGUGUUUAGGAGUAAUGCGACCCUGUUACUACCCAUGCGGGCAGAUGAGAGAACAGUCCUCUUAGGUAUACUUGGAGAGGGGCUAACUGUAUGUGCAGUGGGGUCUUCUGGUCAUCAGCCCAUUUUGGACUACCCCUCUGAGGAAUGCCAUUGACAGAACGCCAGUAAGCUCUUCAGCUCUAUGGACCCUGAUCUGUUUUUGUCAUGUUCAUUUGACAACAGAGUAUUCAGAGAUUAAACACACACACACAGAGACUGCAUAUUGUAGUUAGAAAAUGAUAUUUUAUUCGAAGUCAGUUGUGUUUAUUCAAACAUAACUACAGUACCAGUGAGUGGUUUUCUCAUUAAGAUAGGCCGCAUUGUUUUUUGCAACAGUGUUUUAAGAUAUUCAAAUAAAAUACAAAAACAAUGUGUAUGGUAAACUUAGCAUUUGUAUUUUAUGUGAUUUAAUACAAUCAAUUAAUAUGACAAUUAACUGGAAAUGACAGUUUGUUGUUCAGAAUGUAAAAUAGUUGAUCAUUUAUUUUUUUCCUUAUGUGUUGAUAAUAUGUCUCCAGACUGUAUCAUUUAGGGAAUGCCAUGCCUUUGUGUCAGAUGUGGGACCAACAACAUCAUCAUAAAGUAACAUACAACACAGUUAGCUGGUGAUUCAGUGCAUAUCAGCCUAUGCUACACGGUCACCUUUGCAAUCAAAUCCGUAUUUGUCCCUCAGUUUUCUUUUUAGUGUAGCCUGAUGCUUUUAUGUGAAUAAUUACCACAAAUGAAUGUAUUUUCUGAGAAUAUGUCAAGUAAAUUAUGAUUGUCAGAUAAGUACAAUGAAACAAAUUUUGGGAGGUUUUAAUAUUUUUUUUUGUAACAUUC